rnacentral:rRNA from 1 species
AUUGAACGCUGGCGGCAGGCCUAACACAUGCAAGUCGAGCGGAUGAAGGGAGCUUGCUCCUGGAUUCAGCGGCGGACGGGUGAGUAAUGCCUAGGAAUCUGCCUGGUAGUGGGGGAUAACGUCCGGAAACGGGCGCUAAUACCGCAUACGUCCUGAGGGAGAAAGUGGGGGAUCUUCGGACCUCACGCUAUCAGAUGAGCCUAGGUCGGAUUAGCUAGUUGGUGGGGUAAAGGCCUACCAAGGCGACGAUCCGUAACUGGUCUGCGAGGAUGAUCAGUCACAUGGAAAGGAAGAAAGGGCCAAGACCCUCAGGGGGGGAGGAGGGGGGAAUAUUGGGAAAUGGGGGGAAACCUGGACCAACCAAGCCGGGGGGGGGAAAAAAGGUCUCGGGUUGUAAAAGCAUUUUAAGGGGGGAGGAAGGGCAGUAAGUUAAACCCUUGCGUUUUGACCGUUCCCAAAAAAAAAAGCCCCGCCAAACUUCGU